GAUUACGUAAUCUUUUGUUAGUAUUUCAAUAGCAUCUUCAUAAUACCAUAUUCUGCUACGUUUAGCAGGAUUUGGUGAUUCCUGCUUAACAAUCUCUCUACCCAUAUCUUGUAUUAGAUCAUGCAUCUUCAGGCAGCCAUUCUCGACAGUUAUGAGAGAUUUAUUAAGAAGUAAUUUCAUGUUGGUUGUUGGACAAAAUUCUUGAAGUAUCUUUUUCACAUAUUCCAUUCUCUCCCCUUUAAAGAAGCAAGCUAUGUCCAAGAAAAUUUGUUGGGCAUUAUCAUCCAAUCUAUCGUAGCUUAUUUGAAGCACAUCUUGAAUCUUUGUAUUUGGAGUCUUCUCAUAUUCUUUCAUUGCCAUUUCCCAAUCUUCUAAACUUUCAUGAAAAGCAGCUAAAUCAGAGCCUAUGACUUUUAAAGCCAGUGGAAGACCUUUGGCGUAAUCUACAGCACGCACAGACACAUCUUCAAAACCUGUUUUAGGAUAACUUUGUCUGAAGGCAUUCCAACAAAAUAGCUGUAAAGAAUGUUGGUCAUCAAGUUCCUUCAUUUCAUACGUAGGUUUAACUUGGUGAGCAAUUAGCACAUUUUCUUCCCUUGUGGUUAUAAUGAUCCUACUACCUGGACCAAACCAAUUACACUCUCCUGCCAACUUUUCUAACUGGUCUUUAUCACCAACGUCAUCAAGAACCAAAAGAACUUUCUUUUUCUGAAGCUUUUCUUUUAUUUCACCCAUUCCUUUAAUUGUACUUUCCAAUUUAGUUUCCAACUCCUCAAACAUCUUAGAUAAAAGUGUCUUUUGUAGAUCUUCCAUGCCAUUGAUUCUGUUUGAUUUUUCUCUAACAUCGGAAAGAAAACUUGCUGCAUCAAAGUGUUGCACAAUUUUGUCAUACAAAGCUUUGGCAAGUUCCGUUUUUCCAAUUCCACCAAGUCCAUAUAUGCCCAACAUAUUUACAGUUUUAUCAUCAGGCUUCAUGUCUAAAAGUGACAUAACUUCUUCUAUGCAAGCCUCAAGUCCAAUAGGGUUUUGACCACUAUAUAAAGGUUUAGGAAUUAUAUAUUCAUGGACCUUCUCAACAAUUUCUUCAAUACAAUAGCUUUCAUCAUCCCUAUAAGAGUAGAAUGUAUUAAUUAAUUAUUUGUUUGAUAUCAUGAUUUUUUUUAUUGUACUAAGUGGUGAUUAUUGUACUAGAUUUUUUUUUAUCGGCAAUAAAAAAUAAAUAAAAUAAAAAUAGAACCACUUCAGGGGUGGUUUAACCCUUAUACAUAAAAAAGCUAAACCAGCUCCAACUAACGUCUUCCAAAAACCAACCCAACUCUUCUACCCCUUACAAAACCAAGCAAAAAACCUCAAGAAACUAACCUUGUACACUCCAAAGGAGCCAAACACCAGAAUAAGAAAACGAAACUAACCGGGAAUUUGUUGAAACCCAAGACCAAGCCUUUACCUGUGCCAACGCAAAGAGCUCUUUCUCGUCUGCCACUCCUCUAUUAAAAAUUAUACGAUUCCUGUGGCUCCAAAUCUCACUUAUCACCCCAACCCAAAUCGUGUUCCAAGCAACCAGACCCGUCUCCGAAGGUAAGCACAAUCUAAAUUGAUCAAAGUUGCACCUUGGUUCAAUAUGAGUCACAAACUGGAUUCCUAGCCACUUAAAACAUAAACACCAAACUCGCCAAGCAAACGAACAACCAAAGAACAGAUGGCUACUCGACUCCUCCUCCUUCCCGCACAACACGCACCUCAAGCUUUCUAAUCGAACCCCUCUUCUACUAAGAUUGACCCUGGUAGCUAGCUUGUUUUUCAACACCCUCCAAGCCAAAACCAUUGCAGAAGGAAUUGCUUUACUCCUCCACAACUUCCUAAGCUCCUGCGAAGAAACCGCUUCAAAAUCCUUCCUGAUAAGGUUGUAAGCAGAGCUAACGGUGUAAGACUGAACACCCCCACCCUUCCAAAUCCACCUAUCAGUCUCUCCAAGAACAACCUCAACCCCAAGCAGGAGCUGACUUAAUCGAUCCGCCGCCGGUUUCUCCCAUUCGAAAAAAGGCCUUCUCCAAUCAAGUCCCUAGACCCAUCUCCCAUCAGACCAAGACCCAAGAUCCGACAGUUUUGCAUGUUUGUUAGAGCUGAUUGAGAAAAGUCGUGGAAAAACAUUCUUCAACGCCUCACCCAUCAACUAGCUAUCCUUCCAGAAACAAAUGUCCAUCCCAUUCCCAAUCUUCCACUCAAAACUGUCUUCGAAACAUCUCCCCCACCCCUUCGAAUACCAAACUUCCUUCAAAUCCUUCCACCAAAGAGAACAACUCUUACCAUUACUUGCCACCCCCAGAUCUCUCCACCCCCCGUACUUAGAGAAAAUGAUGUCCUUCCAAAGUCCUACCUCAACCGAACCCAACCUCCAAAUCCACUUUCCCAACAAAGCCCCCCAAACUCACGAGGUUUACACACCAGGUUNNNNNNNNNNNNNNNNNNNNNNNNNNNNNNNNNNNNNNNNNNNNNNNNNNNNNNNNNNNNNNNNNNNNNNNNNNNNNNNNNNNNNNNNNNNNNNNNNNNNAGAAAAUCCCUUUGCAACUUGAUCAACUUACUUGCCACCCUAGUAGGCAAUCUGAACAAAGACAUAUAAAAUAACGGAAUAGCAGAAAGCACAAACCUAAUCAGACAAAUCCUCCCAGCCAUCAACAAACUUCUUCCCUUCCACCUGCUUAACCUAGCCUGCACUUUCUCAAUCACCCUGUUCCAAAACGUACCGCACUUGUGACUCCCUCCAACAGGCAGACCCAAGUAAAUGAACGGAGGGGCCAUCGUAUCACACCCAAGAAUCGCUGCAAAUCUCUGAAGUGUGGCCUGGUCCAUCCCCGUCCCUCCAAUCCUACUCUUCGCAAAAUUAACCCUUAACCCAGAAGAUAGCUCGAAACACUACAGGAUCGCCCUGAUAUUAAAGACACUUUUGGUAUUUGCUUCACAGAAGAACAAAGUGGCGUCCGCAUACUGUAACAUAUUUACCUUUACUUUACUCUUCCCAACCUCCAAACUGUCAAUCAACUUCUUUUCCUCUGCUACCCUUGUCACCCCAGCUAAACCCUCCGCCACAAUAAGGAAGAGAAAAGGGGCAAGCGGGUCGCCUUGACGUAGACCCUUUCUAGGAAAGAACUCCCUAGUUGGGCUUCCGUUUACAAGGACCGACACCGAAACUGACUCCAGGCAUCCCUUUAUCCAUCGAAUCCACCGAGCACAGAAACCCAACCUUCUUAACAUAUAAUAUAAAAAUUCCCAUUUCACCGAAUCGUAUGCCUUCUCGUAGUCGACUUUAAAGCAGAUACUUUGUUUUCUCUUUCUCUUGUACUCCUCAAGAANNNNNNNNNNNNNNNNNNNNNNNNNNNNNNNNNNNNNNNNNNNNNNNNNNNNNNNNNNNNNNNNNNNNNNNNNNNNNNNNNNNNNNNNNNNNNNNNNNNNUUCCAAUCACCUUUUUCAGGCGCAAGGAGAGCGCCUUUGAGAUGAUCUUAUACAGGCAACCUACUAAUGAGAUAGGUCUAAACUCCCCCAACUGUUGAGGAUUUUCAACUUUUGGAAUCAAACAAAGAAACGACGCAUUUGAUACUCUUGGCCAACAUCCAAAAUCAGCAAAGUCCUUUACUGCGUUCAUCACAUCCUUCUUCACAAUGUCCCAACAAGAUUUUAAAAAACAAAAGUUAAACCCGUCGGGACCAAGACUUUUUGAACUAUCACACCCCCAGAUCGCAUCUCUUACCUCAUCUUCCGAGAAAACGCUGACUAACAUAGCGUUAUCUGCUUCUGAUAUGGUAUUGAACCUGACAUUAUCCAAAGUGACCUGACAAACAUCGUUCCGGGCAAACCUUUCUUCAAAGUACUUACGAACCUUAUCCUUUACCUCCUCCUUAUCAUCACACCAUUUAUUAUUGUCGAAAAAUCCAUGUAACUGAUUCCUUGCCCUCCUCCACUUAACCGCAGAAUGAAAGAACUUUGUAUUAUGAUCCCCCUGCUUUAUCCAAUUCUGCUUUGCUUUCUAAAAUAAGAUCGCCUCUUGUUUGGAUCUGGACUCAGAUAGUUGAGCAAAUAGGGACUUUCUUUCAUCCUUUUCUGAUUCCAACAACCCGUCUUCGUCGUCACGAGAAUCUAACUCGUCUAACCUUUUCUAGAUUUCCUUACUAGCCUGAUCUCCGAAUACUUCCCUAUUCCACACCUUUAGGUCUGCUUUUAACUUUUUCAGCUUCUCUUUAAACACAAAAAUUCCCCCUCCCGUCACCUUGUAAGCAGACCAGCUCGAACUCACAAACUCCUUGAACCUGUGAUCCUUCAGCCAAACAUUCAAAAACCUAAACGGCUUCGGACCCCAAUCCACUGACACCUCCUUCAGAAUAACAGCACAAUGAUCUGAGAUUGAUCUAUUGAAGACAAAUUGUUGGCUGUUAGGCCACACCUCCAACCACUCCUUGGAGACCAGCACCCUGUCAAUCCUGCUUUUCACCAAACCAUUGGGUUUGAACCAAGUAAACUUCCUGCCCACCAACGGAAUAUCAACCAAUCCGAGCACGACACCAAACUCUUCCUUUCCUCCUGCCUUCUUAUACAAUUAAAGUCUCCAAUGAUGCACCAAGCCUUCGAUAACUGACCUUGUCUGAAACAACUGAUCUCGUUCCACAUCUCCUUCUUCUCUCGAAAAGAUCCUGAACAAUAAAUGUUCACGAUGGUUACUUGGGUUCCAAAACCCCUCUUCCAAACCCCUUCUAACACUGAAAAGUUCCUACCAUUCUUGAAACUGGACAACUGAAAAACCUUAUUGCUCCACAUCGUAAUCACCCUACCUGCUUUAUUAACUGCUUUGUUUUCCACCCAAUCCACUUCGUUAGUUCCCCAAAAAAGACACACCUUUUCCCUACUAAAAUCUGAACACUUUGUCUCUUGUAAACACGCCAUGUUCACCUGCUCCCUACUGAUCAAAUCCCUGACAUAAUUCUUUUUUACCGCCCCGCCUACCCCUCUGAUAUUCAGACUAAGAAUCUUCAUUAACAACCUUGCUCCUCUCUUUCCACAUUCUUCUCGUAGUCACCCCGCCUUGAUUAGAUAACGAAUAAAUACCAUCUAAAACUACCUCUUCUCGAUCGGCGAGCGAAAACCCAGCUUCUUUCCCUACUCCCCAGACACUUGCAGCCAAAUUCUUAUCUGUUUUCACCCAAAAAAUCAUGUUACAAUUCUCAAUUGCGCUAUCAGAAGUGAAAAGUGAAUUCGACGAGCUGCCUGUUUGAUGAACCAAAAACACUUGUUCCACUGAGGACUGUCUUCCUACGACUUCUCCAUCCAAACCCGUCACCCUGCCCUCCGUAUCUCCGUUGUUGCCUCCACCUUCCACUUCAUCUUCCAUACCUGCCCCCAAAUCCUCUAAUAGUCCUCCUGGAGGGAGGGCACACCCACCAUCUCUCGACUUUGACAUCUCUGACCUCCUUGCCCCCUCUGCAUCGACCAACUUUUCAGGAUCUACCAGUUCACUGUCAUUCAAACCUUGGACUACUGGAGACUUUGGGAUGUCCUUUACAGUUGCUACUGAACUCCCGUCGACUCCGUCUCUAAUCACACUGGUCCCAGACUGUUCCAAAUCAUUCAAAGAAGGACAUAUCCCUACCGAAUUAGCGACCCUACUCACUGAACUCGUCUGUCUUGAGACGCUCCCGACUUCUCCUUCUUCUUCUUCGUGACAACCAUCCUGGACACUCAAAUUCUCUUUGCACGGCUUCAUAAAUGCACUUUGGCACUUUAAAUCCCCCACCACUCCUUUCACACUUAGAACUCCAUUUUCCACGCACUUAAUCAUAGGGGGACACACUUUUAAAGAAGCGAGCCCACCAUCAUUAAUUUCCUGCAUUCCUACUUCUUGAAAUGGCUCUUGAGGUGGCGCUUGAAAAGACGCUCCAGCCCUCACAUUCCCUCUCAACAUGCACCUACUUUCACUUACCCCUCCAUUACUCCUUGCCUUAUCAUUCGCUGACUUGGACUCCUUGGAACUAGCCACCUCCACGUAGGAAUCCACUAUCUCUAUCUUUGAACAGCUAAGAGAACCGUGCCCACCCACUAACUCCACUCUCUUUCUCAAAGAAAUACCGUGCACAUUCAUUGGCCCUCUUAAAUUAUCUUGAAACCAUCCUUCACGCCCCUUACCAAGACAAACCGGGUCCACCAUGCCCUGGACCGUCUCUUCCAACUCCAAGCCUCCUUCCCCGACGGCACCCACACCUCCAUCUCCGGCCAACCCAAGCUCCGACCCCACUGAAUCGCACAAGCUUGCACCUACGCUUCCGUCAUCGGAGUUAGCUUCGGUGUCUACCUCUAAAGCUCCGCCAUUCCACUUGCCAAGACUCUGCUCCGGGACGGACAUCUCUUCAACAAAGGCAACCUUACAUGACCUACCAUUGAUGCACAACUCCUUCUCCAUAUUGACUGUUGAUCUUACCGAUGUUUUAACUCUAAACCGAGCAAACUCCACUGUUUCUCUUCUCUCAGUUACUUCGUCGACCUCCAUCACCUCUCCCACCACUACCCCUAUUUUGGAAAAACUAUGUUUGCACCAGAACUGUAGCGGGAUUCCACUGCAUCGUAUCCAUGCAAAACGUUCUUUUAGUUCGAAAGAACCAUCCCAGGGUGUAACCGCCGAGAACGCUUCGUCGAACCAAGACCUGUUGUCUGCAAUGAUCUUCUUCAGACUUCCUCCAUCAUCGCAAGACAGCAGAACGAACCUACCACCAAGAUAUCUUACUUUGACUAGGCUGAAACCUCCCAACACAAAGCUCUCCUUAAUCACUUGCAUGCUUGGAAGCUCUUUCAAACUACCAACGUAGCAUCUACUAACCAAUCGUCUUGUUCUACCUCCACUGUAACCUGAGAAUCAACGUCGCCCCCCAAAGAGCUACCCACAAUCUCGCCUGUUCCAAGCUUUCCUGCCCCCCCCCCCCCCCCGAAACCACUUGAGCGAACGAAACCUGCUCCGUUUGCUUCCCCUUCCCACUCGUUGUGCUCGUCAUUGGGUUCCUCCCUAAUCUGGACCCUUCAUUCCUUUGCUUCCUUGAACCAUCCUUCCUCUUAUAUUUGGGAAGGUUCACCUGCAUCUUCCAAGUGCCAAUCCAGAGUGCACUCAAUUCUCUUUCCAGGGAAAGAACAUCCUUCACACCCUGGAACCUUACAAAACCAAACUUCUUAUUCCUUGCAUUGAGCUUUCUUGAAACAAAGACAUCCAUAACCCUUCCCCACCUUUGGAAAACCUUCCAAAGAUCUCUCUCCAUGAAAUGCUCGGGGAAGUUAGUAAAGAAAAACGAAGUGUCCGCCAUUGUCGAAAGUUAACAAACCGCCUUUACUUACUCCGACCAUCGUGUUUCUCCGGUUACUAUUUUAUUGUACUAGAUAGUAAGCAAUGAUACUAAUAGCAAGUAGCACAAAAGAACAAUGAUUACACAUUAUACAAAAUUUACUGGAGAUGAAAAAGUUAGAGAAAUUUUAUUCUAAACAAAAAAUUCAAUAAUUUAUAAAGAAAAAUACCUAAAUAUAAUAUAAUAUUCAAAUAAAGAAUGAUUUUUUCCACUUUGGAUUUUUAUUAGUUUUUUAUCUUUUAAAUUAUACUUUUUAAUAUCCAGAAUUAUACUUUGUGACUAACAAAAUCAAUUAACACCCUGAAAAAAAUCUAAAGUUUAAGAUGUAGAAUAUUAUAUAUAACAAACUACACAUGAUAAAAACAAUAUUGCAUCCCAUUAUAAUUAAGAUGUAGAAUAUUAUAUAUAACAAACUACACGUGAUAAAAAUAAUAUUGCAUACCAUAAAGUAUAUUACUUGAAAUCAUUUUUGUUUGUGAAAAGUAAAGUCCUACAUAAGAUUAACUUAUUUUUGGUUUUUAACCUUUUAUAAAAGGCUAUAAUUAUUUUUUAACUAAAUUAAUUUAUUUUUGGAUGAGAGAAAAAUUAAGAGAGGAAAAAUAUUUUUUCUUUUAAAUUUUCUUACCAAUUGUAUUUUUUUUAUAAGAGAAGUAAAGUCUUACAUCUUAAUAGAUGAUAUAUGUGGAUGAUAAGUUAGUAAUAGUUUCCAACAAAGUUCGAAUAUGAGAAUUGAAGGGCAUUUGAUAAUAAGAAUUUAAGAUCAACAAUCUAAGAUUUUAGAAAUACUCACCAAUAUAGAAAAGAGAAAUGUUUUACUUCCUUAGAAUAAAAUAUUUCAAUCAACAACAUAAAAAAUUUAUGAUAAGAGGUAAAGCAAUACUCACCUGGGAGCAUGGUGCUUAGAAAAUCUAAGGAGGUGUUGAAGGAACCCAAGAGAACAACAUGGUACUCAUUGAGAAAAUAUUGUUAGAGUUUAUGGUGUUCAAUAAACACAAUUGAUGAUGGAAGUGAGAAACAACGAAAGAAAGACAAUCGAGACUCUCUAUGCUCUGUGUGAAAGAACCCAUUACAACAACGUUCAUUGAGGUAACAACUCAUACCAUUAACAACUUUCCAUUUGACUUUGCUAUUAAUAAUAGCAAUAGACUCUUUUGCUUACGAAAUGGAAGUGCAGAGGAUAUUAGGUUAUGUGAAUUAGGUUAGGAAAUCAGAAUUACAUUUAUAGGGUAGGAUGAAAAUAUCUUAAAGAUGAUUGAGAAAAUGAAGGGAAGAGACUGCGAAAUGAAAAUAUUAAAGGGAGAGAAGAGACAAUCCAAUUGAUGAAGAUAAUAUGUUUAAACAUUGUAGGGGAAUUGAUUAAUAAGGAGGAGGGUGGGGUAGUGUGCUAACAAGAAACCAAAUUGGAAAUAGUCAAUAAAGAAAGAUGCUACAAUAUGGGAAACGAUGACAUAAAAUGGGAACAUUUUGCAGUUGUAAAUGGAGUACAAGGAAUUUUAACUAUGUGGCCUAAGGAUACUUUCAUAUGUGAAACAUUGGUUAGAAACACAAGUUUUGUAAGGGUUAAGGAAAGGUACAAAAAGAAUAAUAUGUCAAUAGUAAUACUAAAUGUGUAGUUCCCUUAGAGAAAUGUUAGAGAAAUGUGACUAAAUUAUGUCUUGAAGCAAAAUGAACUUUUUUAUCUUUAACAAGUUUUACGUCCAAUUAUGAUAGAUAUUGAUUUGCGCUCAAAUUUUUUUUUUAGAUUCGUGGGUAAUUAUUUAUGGACACAAAUAUGUCAGUAAAUGUCUAACAUUAUCUAUUGGUACAAUUCGUCGAUAAUAAAAUAAUAUCGACGAACAUAAAUCUGUCAAUAAAUUUUCAUUAGUAAUUCAAUAAUUUUUUGUAGUAGGUGGUUUUAAGAGAAAAAUUAAAAAGAUUUAAGCAUGACUUAAAAGUUUGGAAUAAAGAGGAAUUUGGUAAUGUAAACCAAAUCAAGCAAACCACUAUAACUCAUAGAGGUGAUUUUGACAAAAUGGAUUACUCAAAUGAUCUAUAUGAGAAAGGAAUGAUGGAAAGGAAGAAACUCUUUAGUGAACUCAAACUCAUAGACUAGCAACAUAAGUCCUUGGAGAAAUAAAUUCAAUGUUAGGCUAAUGAACAUUAUCUUCUAUUUCUCCUAGUGAUAAUAUAGUCCUAACAAGACAAAAUAGAAAUUAAGAAAGCACUAGGCAUGUUGUGUGGAAUAUGUGCAACAAGUAUGUUGGAGUAAGUACUGCUACUCAAAAUCAUGUAAAGUUGAACUUUCAACAAUUCUACUUGUCGAGAAUGAAUGACAAAGGAAAUAGGAUAUGGGGGUGUAUGUGGAUAGAGAUCUUUUUUUUGGAUUAUAUAGAAUCAAAGGAAUAAAAAUAUCUUUAAGAAUGAGACCGUAUAUGAAGAGAUAUUUUUUUUACACAAAUAAAAGUAUAAGCUUGGACAAGGAAUAGAUCUUUAUCAACUUUCACAUAAAACCCCUAUAUAAAUAAUAUGGUAUACUCGCACAAUGGGCAUAUGCAAUUGUUAUCAAUUAUAAGUUUUUUUCAAGUUUGAGUCACUAAGAGUUGAGAUUUAUCGAGUACCAUAGACAUCAACGAUGUAAAACCUUAUGUACGACAUAUGUAAAAAAACUAAACUUUAAAUAAGGAGUGACAACAAUUAGUAUAGGUUUAUGGUAAAUUCUGAUACUGAGAUGUGAAGUGUUAUUAAGAGGAUCCUUAGAUACUUCAGAGGAACCUCAGACAUUGUAUUAUGUUUUGAAAUAUCAGAAUUAGAUAUGAUCUUUAUUAAAUGAAGUCUAUUAGUGACUAUGUGUGUAUACUUAUAGGUGGAGCAAUAUGUUAAUUAUUCAAGUUGGAUGAUUUUAUAAUUUUGUCUAGUACAUAAAUUGAAAACAUAAAAGGCAUCCAAGCAUACAUGAAAGCUAUCUAAAUUCAAAGGUAUACAUGAAAGCUAUCUAAAUUCAAAGGUUAAUUGAUGAACUAAGACAUAAAGCAACAAAAAAAAAAAUAUUCUAAUAGUGAAAAUGCAUUUACACAUAACAAUAAUAGUGAAAAUGUAUUCUAUUCGAUAGAUAAUAUACUAUUUUUUUAUUUUAGAUUUAUAAGGUGGUUAUAUUAUAAUUUUAUUUCUUUAAUUUUAUAAAGUUACUUUAUUAAUUUUAUUUUAGUUGUAAAUAAUUAUCCCAUAAAAUACAUGAUUUUUUCGAAAUAUGGGAUGAAAAAGAAAUAACAUUGAAUGGUUUGUUAUACAUACCCGGUGGUAAUAAUAUGCCUCCCUGGGAAGUCAAAAGCUUGAGACAAGGCUGACCUCCAAGCCUGCAUUUUCUGUGAUUCUUUUCCAAUCUCAUGUUCAUGUGCCUUCAUGUGUUUUCCGAAGCUGUUUCUCUCGUGCCGUAUAUCUGAGGGAUCUACAUGGUAAAACACUGGGUAAACAAGCUGCUUCUUCUCCUUCAUUUUGCUGCGUUCUAUGAUCCUAACAAGUUCAUCCAGACACCGUGUAGAAGAUGCAUAGUUCUCAGAAAACACAACGAUGAAAAUCUUAGAUUCUUCAAUGGCCUUCGACAGAGCAGGUGGAAGACUUUCCCCUAUCCUCAUAUUCCUAUCAUCAUUGAAACUUUUUAUUCCCCUCCUACCCAACUCUCUACGCAGAUGCCCUAUAAAAGUGUACCUUGUAUCUUCCCCUCUAAAACUGAUGAACAAGGAAAUUUGUUUGGCCUUAUCAUCCAAUUUAUCGUAGCUUAUUUUAAGCACAUCUUGAAUCUUUUUAUUUGGAGUCCUCUCAUAUUCUUCCAUUGCCAUUUCCCAAUCUUCUAAACUUUCAUGAAAAGUAGCUAAAUCAGAGCCUAUCCUUUUUAAAGCCAGUGGAAGACCUUUGGCGUAAUCUACAGCACGCAGAGACACAUCUUCAAAACCUGUUUUAGGAUAACUUUGUCUGAAGGCAUUCCAACAAAAUAGCUCUAAAGAAUGUAG
rnacentral:lncRNA from 1 species